GAUGAACGCUGGCGGCGUGCCUAAUACAUGCAAGUCGAGCGAAUGGAUUAAGAGCUUGCUCUUAUGAAGUUAGCGGCGGACGGGUGAGUAACACGUGGGUAACCUGCCCAUAAGACUGGGAUAACUCCGGGAAACCGGGGCUAAUACCGGAUAACAUUUUGAACCGCAUGGUUCGAAAUUGAAAGGCGGCUUCGGCUGUCACUUAUGGAUGGACCCGCGUCGCAUUAGCUAGUUGGUGAGGUAACGGCUCACCAAGGCAACGAUGCGUAGCCGGCCUGAGAGGGGGAUCGGCCACACUGGGACUGAGACACGGCACAGACUCCUACGGGAGGCAGCAGUAGGGAAUCUUCCGCAAUGGACGAAAGUCUGACGGAGCAACGCCGCGUGAGUGAUGAAGGCUUUCGGGUCGUAAAACUCUGUUGUUAGGGAAGAACAAGUGCUAGUUGAAUAAGCUGGCACCUUGACGGUACCUAACCAGAAAGCCACGGCUAACUACGUGCCAGCCGCCGCCGUAA
rnacentral:rRNA from 1 species